rnacentral:rRNA from 1 species
UACGUAGGUGGCAAGCGUUGUCCGGAAUUAUUGGGCGUAAAGCGCGCGCAGGCGGUUCUUUAAGUCUGAUGUGAAAGCCCACGGCUCAACCGUGGAGGGUCAUUGGAAACUGGAGAACUUGAGUACAGAAGAGGAAAGCGGAAUUCCACGUGUAGCGGUGAAAUGCGUAGAGAUGUGGAGGAACACCAGUGGCGAAGGCGGCUUUCUGGACUGUAACUGACGCUGAGGCGCGAAAGCGUGGGGAGCAAACAGG